GUAUGCACGAGAUAUUAGUGCGGUUCAAUGGGAAAGUAAAGCUCAAAAUUUUUGACCUCUUCUUUUUUAUUGAGCCGUGCCAAUAUCACGUGUCACAUA
rfam:Ipomoea nil DNA, scaffold: scaffold3316, cultivar: Tokyo-kokei standard.